rnacentral:rRNA from 1 species
UCCGUAGGCGGUGCGGCAAGUCGGAAGUGAAAUCUCUGGGCUUAACUCAGAGGCUGCUUCCGAAACUGCCGUGCUCGAGUGCGAGAGAGGCAAGUGGAAUCGCGGGUGUAGCGGUGAAAUGCGUAGAUAUCCGCAGGAACAUCCGAGGCGAAAGCGGCUUGCUGGAUCGCAACUGACGCUGAGGGACGAAAGCUAGGGGAGCAAACAGGAUUAGAUACCCUGGUAGUCCUAGCCCUAAACCAUCAGGACUUGGGGUUUGCCCUGUACGGGGCAAGUCCCGGAGCUAACGCGUUAAGUCCUGCGCCUGGGGAGUACGGUCGCAAGGCUGAA